rnacentral:rRNA from 1 species
UGGGGAAUAUUGCACAAUGGGCGAAAGCCUGAUGCAGCAACGCCGCGUGCGGGAAGAAGGCCUUAGGGUUGUAAACCGCUUUCAGCAGGGAAGAAGAUGACGGUACCUGCAGAAGAAGGUGCGGCCAACUACGUGCCAGCAGCCGCGGUGACACGUAGGCACCAAGCGUUGUCCGGAUUUAUUGGGCGUAAAGAGCUCGUAGGCGGUUCAGUAAGUCGGGUGUGAAAACUCUGGGCUCAACCCAGAGACGCCACCCGAUACUGCUGUGACUUGAGUACGGUAGGGAGCGGGGAAUUCCUGGUGUAGCGGUGAAAUGCGCAGAUAUCAGGAGGAACACCAGUGGCGAAGGCGCCGCUCUGGGCCGUAACUGACGCUGAGGAGCGAAAGCGUGGGGAGCAAACAGGAUUAGAUACCCUGGUAGUCCACGCCGUAAACGUUGGGCACUAGGUGUGGGUCUCAACCAACGAGAUCCGCGCCGUCGCUAACGCAUUAAC